rnacentral:misc_RNA from 1 species
UUUCCGUAGGUGAACCUGCGGAAGGAUCAUUAACGUAUCUACGAGUCCGGCGGUCGGCGUCGCCGCGCCCCGGCUCGAACCCCCACAAACCCACCGUGCUCCUUUACGGCCCAGGGCGCCGCCGGCGAAAGCUGCGGUCCCGAAGCCGCAUUCAAAUAGACUCCAGUUCAAAAGAAUGCAAAGCAGACUAUGAUCUGCCCACAAAUUGAAACAACUUUCAACAACGGAUCUCUUGGCUCUCGCAUCGAUGAAGAACGCAGC